AACGAACGCUGGCGGCAUGCCUAACACAUGCAAGUCGAACGAUACCUUCGGGCAUAGUGGCGCACGGGUGCGUACCGCGUGGGAAUUUACCUUUCGGUUAGGAAUCCCUCAGGGUAACUUGAGCUAAUACCGGUUAACGUCGCACCACCAAAGAUCUAUCACCGAAAGAUGGGCCCGCGUAGGAUUAGCUAGUUGGUGAGGUAAAGGCUCACCAAGGCGACGAUCCUUAGCUGGUCUGAGAGGAGGAUCAGCCACACUGGAACUGAGACACGGCCCAGACUGCGACGGGAGGCAGCGGUAGGGAAUAUUGUGGGAGGAGCGAAAGCCUAAUCCAGCAGUGCCGCGUGAGUGACGAAGGCGUUAGUGUUGUAAAUCUCUUUGUCCCGAGGAGAGAGUGACGGUACCGGGAGAAUAAGCCCCGGCUAACUCCGUG
rnacentral:rRNA from 1 species